rnacentral:rRNA from 1 species
GCCUACGGGGGGCAGCAGUGGGGAAUAUUGCACAAUGGGGGAAACCCUGAUGCAGCAACGCCGCGUGAGUGAAGAAGUAUUUCGGUAUGUAAAGCUCUAUCAGCAGGGAAGAAAAUGACAGUACCUGACUAAGAAGCCCCGGCUAACUACGUGCCAGCAGCCGCGGUAAUACGUAGGGGGCGAGCGUUAUCCGGAUUCACUGGGUGUAAAGGGAGCGUAGACGGCCAUGCAAGCCAGGGGUGAAAGCCCGGGGCCCAACCCCGGGACUGCCCUUGGAACUGCAUGGCUGGAGUGCGGGAGGGGCG